rnacentral:rRNA from 1 species
GACGGAGGAGGCUAGCGUUGUUCGGAAUUACUGGGCGUAAAGCGUGCGUAGGCGGCUUGGUUAGUCGGAGGUGAAAUCCCGGGGCUCAACUCCGGAACUGCCUCCGAGACGGCCAGGCUUGAGUGAAGGAGAGGAGAGCGGAAUUCCCAGUGUAGAGGUGAAAUUCGUAGAUAUUGGGAAGAACACCGGUGGCGAAGGCGGCUCUCUGGCCUUUUUCUGACGCUGAGGCACGAAAGCGUGGGGAGCAAACAGG